CCGAUCAUACCAUCACUAAUGCACCGGAUUCCAUCAGAACUUCUUAGUUAAGCGUGCUUGAGCGAGAUUAGUACUAGGAUGGGUGACCCCAGGGUAGGCCUUAUGUUGCACCCC